rnacentral:rRNA from 1 species
GACGAACGCUGGCGGCGUGCUUAACACAUGCAAGUCGAACGGUAAGGCCCUUCGGGGUACACGAGUGGCGAACGGGUGAGUAACACGUGGGUGAUCUACCCUGCACUUCGGGAUAAGCCUGGGAAACUGGGUAUAAUACCGGAUAGGACCACUGCCUGCAUGGGUGGUGGUGGAAAGCUUUUGCGGUGUGGGAUGGGCCCGCGGCCUAUCAGCUUGUUGGUGGGGUGAUGGCCUACCAAGGCGACGACGGGUAGCCGGCCUGAGAGGGUGACCGGCCACACUGGGACUGAGAUACGGCCCAGACUCCUACGGGAGGCAGCAGUGGGGAAUAUUGCACAAUGGGCGCAAGCCUGAUGCAGCGACGCCGCGUGAGGGAUGACGGCCUUCGGGUUGUAAACCUCUUUCAGCACCGACGAAGCGCAGGUGACGGUAGGUGCAGAAGAAGGACCGGCCAACUACGUGCCAGCCGCCGCCGUAAAAC